UACAGAGGUCCCAAGCGUUGUUCGGAUUCACUGGGCGUAAAGGGUGCGUAGGCGGUCGGGUAAGUCUGUCGUGAAAUCUCCGAGCCUAACUCGGAAACUGCGUCGGAUACUAUUCGGCUAGAGGAAUGGAGGGGAGACUGGAAUUCUCGGUGUAGCAGUGAAAUGCGUAGAUAUCGAGAGGCACACCAGUGGCGAAGGCGAGUCUCUGGACAUUUCCUGACGCUGAGGCACGAAAGCCAGGGGAGCAAACGGG
rnacentral:rRNA from 1 species